UGUUUUCUUGCCGAUGUCGGGGAUAAUAAUUGUUGUUGAUGAUGGAAGUCCUGAUGGUACUCAAGAAGCUGUGAAACAGUUGCAACGAGUGUAUGGAGAAGAUCGGAUCCUAUUGAGAGUCAGACCUGGGAAUGUUGUACGACUUCUUCUUUUGAAAAUAUCACAGAUCUGAUGAAUGAUUCAUUUCAGGAACGGGUUACUGUCACGGUCUGAAGCAUGCAACUGGUAAUUUUGGUGUUAUAAUGGAUGCGAACUUAUCUCACC